rnacentral:misc_RNA from 1 species
GAUGAAGAACGCAGCGAAAUGCGAUAAGUAGUGUGAAUUGCAGAAUUCAGUGAAUCAUCGAAUCUUUGAACGCACAUUGCGCCCCUUGGUAUUCCAUGGGGCAUGCCUGUUCGAGCGUCAUUUGUACCUUCAAGCUCUGCUUGGUGUUGGGUGUUUUGUCUCGCCUCUGCGUGUAGACUCGCCUUAAAACAAUUGGCAGCCGGCGUAUUGAUUUCGGAGCGCAGUACAUCUCGCGCUUUGCACUCAUAACGGCGACGUCCAAAAGUACAUUUUUACACUCUUGACCUCGGAUCAGGUAGGGAUACCCGCUGAACUUAAGCAUAUCAAUAAGCGGAGGA